rnacentral:lncRNA from 1 species
UUUAGGCUAGUAAAAUCAUCUGGAAGUCAUCAAUUCUCUUAUUUCUUUUUUUUUAAAUGCCAAAUCAAGAAGAUAACUAAUUCAAUCAGCCUUUCAUCGUUUCCAUAUCCCUUUAUUCAACCGAUCCACCUCAUUGUGAUCACAUAACGCUUCAUUCAUUAAAUUCACUCGGAAGGCUGCAACUUGCUGCUUCUUUCUCACGAAAAUCAGCCUUUAAUUUCCAGCUAAACAUCACCCCAAAUUGGCCAACAUAUGUCGAAAUUAUGAUGAACUUCCAAACUGAAUUAACUAGCCUAAUA